rnacentral:rRNA from 1 species
UACGGAGGGUGCUAGCGUUGUUCGGAAUUACUGGGCGUAAAGGGCGCGUAGGCGGCCGUUUGCGUCGAAUGUGAAAGCCCGGGGCUCAACCUCGGAACGGCAUUCGAUACGGGACGGCUGGAGACCGGGAGAGGAGAGUGGAAUAGCCAGUGUAGAGGUGAAAUUCGUAGAUAUUGGCUGGAACACCGGUGGCGAAAGCGGCUCUCUGGCCCGGUUCUGACGCUGAGGCGACGAAAGCGUGGGGAGCAAACAGG